rnacentral:lncRNA from 1 species
UACCGGCAUUGAUAUUCAUUACUUCAAAGCAUAAUAACACGCCAUUUUUCAGCUGAGAUAGAAUCAAGAAAUCUGUGCCUUUGACCUGGAAGGAGCCCUUUUUGUCCAUUUAAAGAAGAGGAUUUUAGGUGGGACAGUGACAAUCUAAAGCACAUUGAGAGGAGAAUGAUCGGUUUGAGGGGCCCAGAGGCCAUGCCACAGGAAAGAUCCUUGAGAUGAGAAAAUUCCUGGGGAGCAUGUUAACUGUUGUCAAAUAUUUACUUGAAGGGCAACCUUAUUCUAGAGGGACUAGAUUUGUUCCUGGCCCCUGAGCCAGGAGCACAGGAAGGAGGCUGGCUACCCAGAUGCAGACUUGAGAUUGAUAUAAGCAAAGAUGAGGGAGUGGAACAAGUUGUUGACUGAGGUCCUUUCUCAUUUUGGAGAGUAGUCCAUGGUUCUUGGAGCCUACGAUCCCUCCCAGCUCUGAUGCUGGGAGUCUAAAGGAAGACACAGAUACUAGCAGGUAUUUGAGUCAGAUACGUGACUACAGACAUGUGGUCUGCCAAAGGCUGCCCGUUCCCUUCUCCUGUCUUCAUCAAAGAUGCCUCGAGAAAGACAUUUAUUUCUAUUGAUGCAUUUUGUUUGGAUACAUCAUUCAUGUCCUAAGAAAGACUUCUCUCUAAUGGCUUCCAAGAAGACAAUUAAGUAAAACCAUCCAAGGUCGGGAUUGCAACUGUGCUUUCCUUUCCCUGUUUUCGUGUUUUGUUGUC